UACGGCUUAGCUCAGUUGGUAGAGCGCUUGACUGUUAUUCAAGAUGUCGUCCGUUCGUGUCUGACGGCCGGCG
rnacentral:tRNA from 1 species